rnacentral:rRNA from 1 species
ACGAAGGGUGCAAGCGUUACUCGGAAUUACUGGGCGUAAAGCGUGCGUAGGUGGUUUGUUAAGUCUGAUGUGAAAGCCCUGGGCUCAACCUGGGAACUGCAUUGGAUACUGGCUUACUAGAGUGCGGUAGAGGGUAGUGGAAUUCCCGGUGUAGCAGUGAAAUGCGUAGAUAUCGGGAGGAACACCAGUGGCGAAGGCGGUUGCCUGGAGCUUUGCUGACGCUGAUGCGCGAAAGCGUGGGGAGCGAUCCGGA